UACAGAGGUCUCAAGCGUUGUUCGGAUUCAUUGGGCGUAAAGGGUGCGUAGGUGGCGCUGUAAGUCAGGUGUGAAAUUUCGGAGCUUAACUCCGAAACUGCAUUUGAUACUGCGGUGCUUGAGGACUGGAGAGGAGACUGGAAUUUACGGUGUAGCAGUGAAAUGCGUAGAUAUCGUAAGGAAGACCAGCGGCGAAGGCGGCAUCCUGGCCCUUACCUGACGCUGAGGCGCGAGAGCGUGGGGAGCAAACCGG
rnacentral:rRNA from 1 species